GCCAUUUUGGAAAUUGACUAGCCCAGGAAAACUGCCCGCGUCCACAUGCGACAGAGAAGUGUGAUUCCAAGAUAAACCCCUUAGUUCAAAUUAACUGUUAAUUUGAAGUAAGGUGUUUAUCUUGGAAUUGCGCUUCUCUGCCGCGUGUAGAUGUGGGCAGUUAUUCCGGGCUAGUCAAUUUCCAAAAUGGC
rnacentral:pre_miRNA from 1 species